UCCUGAUUGACCCCCUUCCCUCCCUCCUUCCCUCCCUCCCUUGCUUCCUCCCUCCUCCUCGGCUUCCUUGCUCUGUGCCUGAGGGGAGGAAGAGAAGGAGGGAGGAAGGGAGGGAGGGAGGGAGGAGGGGGGGGUUAAUGUGUCG